AGUGAACGCUGGCGGUAGGCCUAACACAUGCAAGUCGAACGGCAGCACAGUAAGAGCUUGCUCUUACGGGUGGCGAGUGGCGGACGGGUGAGGAAUACAUCGGAAUCUACUUUUUCGUGGGGGAUAACGUAGGGAAACUUACGCUAAUACCGCAUACGACCUACGGGUGAAAGCAGGGGAUCUUCGGACCUUGCGCGAUUGAAUGAGCCGAUGUCGGAUUAGCUAGUUGGCGGGGUAAAGGCCCACCAAGGCGACGAUCCGUAGCUGGUCUGAGAGGAUGAUCAGGCCACCUGGAACCGAGACAAGGUCCAGACCCCCACGGGAGGGAGGCGUUGGGAAUUAUUGAACAAGGGCGGCAGGCUGAACCAGGCAUUCCGGGGUGGUUAAGAAGGCCUUCGGGUUGUAAAGCCCUUUUGUUGGGAAAGAAAAGCAGCAGGUUAAUACCCCGCUGUUCUGACGGUACCCAAAGAAUAAGCACCGGCUAACUUCGUG
rnacentral:rRNA from 1 species